rnacentral:rRNA from 1 species
AGUGAACGCUGGCGGCGUGCCUAAUACAUGCAAGUCGAACGGAGUGGCGCACGGGUGAGUAAUAUAUAGCUAAUCUGCCCCUUGCUGGAGGACAACAGUUAGAAAUGACUGCUAAUACUCCAUAGCAAGGGAUGAGACUCAAUCGUAUCAGCUAGUCGGUGGGGUAACGGCCUACCGAGGCUAUGACGCGUAACUGGGCUGAGAGGAUGAUCAGGCACAUUGUAACUGAGACACGGUCCAAAAGCCUACGGGAUGCAGCAGGAGUGAAUAUUGAGCAAUGGGGGAAACCCUGACGCAGCAACGCCGCGUGGAGUAUGACACUGUUCGGAGCGUAAACUCCUUUUGUUAGGUAAGCGGUACCUAACGAAUAAGCACCGGCUAACUCCGUGCCAGCAGCCGCGGUAUUU